rnacentral:rRNA from 1 species
AGCGAACGCUAGCGGCGGGCUUAACACAUGCAAGUCGAGCGCCUUACUUCGGUAAGGAGCGGCGGACGGGUGAGUAACACGUAGGUUAUCUGCCCCGGGGUGAGGGACAACUGAGGGAAACUUCAGCUAAUACCACAUAUGGCCUACGGGUCAAAGGCUUCGGCCGCCCUGGGAUGAGCCUGCGUCCCAUUAUUUAAUCCUAGUUGGUGGGGUAAUGGCCUACCAAGGGUACGAUGGGUAGCUGGUUUGAGAGAAUGAUCAGCCACACUGGAACUGAGACACGGUCCAGACUCCUACGGGAGGCAGCAGUGGGGAAUAUUGCGCAAUGGGCGAAAGCCUGACGCAGCCACGCCGCGUGAGUGAAGAAGGCCUCGGUUGUAAG